AUUGAACGCUGGCGGCAUGCCUUACACAUGCAAGUCGAACGGUAACAGGUCUUCGGAUGCUGACGAGUGGCGAACGGGUGAGAAAUACAUCGGAACGUGCCUAGUAGUGGGGGAUAACUACUCGAAAGAGUGGCUAAUACCGCAUGAGAUCUACGGAUGAAAGCAGGGGAUCGCAAGACCUUGUGCUACUAGAGCGGCCGAUGGCAGAUUAGGUAGUUGGUGGAGUAAAAGCUUACCAAGCCGACGAUCUGUAGCUGGUCUGAGAGGACGAUCAGCCACACUGGGACUGAGACACGGCCCAGACUCCUACGGGAGGCAGCAGUGGGGAAUUUUGGACAAUGGGCGCAAGCCUGAUCCAGCAAUGCCGCGUGCAGGAUGAAGGCCUUCGGGUUGUAAACUGCUUUUGUACGGAACGAAAAGCCCUGGGUUAAUACCCUGGGGUCAUGACGGUACCGUAAGAAUAAGCACCGGCUAACUACGUGCCAGCCGCCGCUGUAACAC
rnacentral:rRNA from 1 species